AUGUUGGCUCUCCUGAUUCUGGCUCUUCUCAGAGACGUUGCAGGAAUGACCUUCCUUGAUCAUGAUGGGAAUGCAACACGGAAAUUGAUCUGCAGCAAAUCGAGUCCUAAAGACAGAACAGGCUGGUGGUUUACAGGGAAAUCCUUACAAUCCUUUGGACAACAGAGCUGCAAUUCAACUGUUUGUGGAGAACAGUGUGACCCACCGGCUUCAUGUCACACAGAAGGGGAAGAGCUUGAUUUCAAACCCCGUCAUGGCGGAAUCGUUGCAUGCAAAAACCUAACGGGUACUACAUCAAACCAACUCCCGUUAUUUUCUAAGGAGGAAGAUUGCAAGGAUUUCGACUUCUUCAUGGUAGGGAGAACACAGAACACAAUAAAGACAAAAGUCUACAGUAAGAACAUACCAAAGGAGGAAAAGAAUUUGAGUCUUUCCUGCCAAUUUGAACUGGAGGAAAGCACAGUCACGUUUGCUGUGUAUUGGAUCAAGGAAGCCGGAGGAAGCACGUGCCUUUUUUCCGCUUCUAAUGAAGACUGCCAUAACUCUCGUGUGUAUUCUUAUGAUAUAAACUGUUGUGUGGAUGCUGGUAUCAAAGGGAGAAGGCUCAAAAACUCAACCGCUUUGGAUACAGCAGGACGAACUCAGAGCCAUGAGAUUACGAUUACCAAUGUCAAUUCUUCUGACAGUGGAAAAUAUUUGUGCCUAGUCGGUGUCUUCAGACGUCCUCUAGUGUGGAUGAUCGUAACCAACAUUUCUGUAAACGUGCAAGAAGAAGCUUUUGCAGCAUCUGGUUUCAGAUACGUGAUAGUUGGCCUCUUUCUCCUCGUUGGAAUAAUCUUAAUUCUUUGCUGGAGGAAGAAAUCCAAAGGGAAACCACCUGAAAUACAUCAAAGGGAUCAAACUGAAAUGGAAGGAGAUGAGUGUUCUCCGUAUGCAAUCUCCAAUCGCAACAAUUCAGGCGGAUAUGAAGCGAUCUAUGUGCUUGCAACGCAUCCUGGAGUGAAACCAAAUGCAGCCGAUUCCAAACUGGAUUCUGGAGACAAUCUACAAGCCAUCUACGCCUUGGUGGAUAAAAAGAAACCUUGA
rnacentral:lncRNA from 1 species